rnacentral:RNase_P_RNA from 1 species
UUUGCAGGCCGCCUUAUCGUCAUUUGUAUUAUCAGAUGGAGGAAAGUCCGGACACCAUAGGGAAGCAUAGCGGCUAACAGCCGUCACCCCGUAGCUCUUGCUACAGGGGAGGACUAGUGCAACAGAAAGUAUGUACAGGUCAUGCUGUAGUGAAAUCAUGUAAACUCUAUGCGGUGAAAUGCCACGUAAACCUGGGCUCGAGGGUACCCGCCCGAUCCAGGAGGGUAGGCAGCUAGAACCAAUGGGUAACCAUUGGUCGAGAUAAAUGAUAAGGACUCUUUAGCUUAGCUCUAGAGUACAGAAUCCGGCUUAUAGGCCUGCACUUUUU